rnacentral:rRNA from 1 species
CCUACGGGCGGCAGCAGUGGGGAAUAUUGGACAAUGGGCGAAAGCCUGAUCCAGCCAUGCCGCGUGUGUGAAGAAGGCCUUCGGGUUGUAAAGCACUUUCAGUGGGGAAGAAAGCCUUGGGGCUAAUACCCUCGAGGAAGGACAUCACCCACAGAAGAAGCACCGGCUAACUCCGUGCCAGCAGCCGCGGUAAUACGGAGGGUGCGAGCGUUAAUCGGAAUUACUGGGCGUAAAGCGCGCGUAGGCGGUCUGAUAAGCCGGUUGUGAAAGCCCCGGGCUCAACCUGGGAACGGCAUCCGGAACUGUCAGGCUAGAGUGCAGGAGAGGAAGGUAGAAUUCCCGGUGUAGCGGUGAAAUGCGUAGAGAUCGGGAGGAAUACCAGUGGCGAAGGCGGCCUUCUGGACUGACACUGACGCUGAGGUGCGAAAGCGUGGGUAGCAAACAGGAGUAGAUACCCCUGUAGUC